AGCUAUUGAUUUGGAUGCAAUUGAGAGAUAAAACCUCACAAAUUUACAGAAGUUUAAGAGAGAAGCGGACUGAGAGAGUGCUCCAUGACUUCAGGAACUUCCGGAAGCAAACUUUCUUACAUUGCUUCUAAUGUUCUCUACUGACAAGUGAACUGAGAAGAGGAAAGAUAAAAUGUAAAGGUCCAAAUGCGUUUCCACAGAGCAGUCAGUAAGGGUGACUUUUGGAGAGGACAACCAAGAAACUGAUGAACUAGCAUACAUUUUCUGGACUCAGUAGACUGAAGAGCAGCGGCUGUCCAGGACUCCAGUGCCACAUUGGGACUUCUGAGACAUCGAGCCUUGUGUAUUGAACAACUACCAGAAUCUUGGCCUUUCUAUCACAAGCUAGUCAUUGUUGGAUUACCAACCUAGACUGCAUCCUGACUACCCUAAUACACUUUUGUUCCUAAACUUGGAAAGGAGUUCUCAUCUUGAGAUUUCUUGCAUAGUCAGUCUUUCUUUCCUACUGACAUUUAUAUUUAUUUCCUUAUUUAUGUAGAGACAACCUGGAGCUUCCUAUCAUCCAGCUUCUUCCUCUUAAGUGAUUGCAUUACAAAACUUUAUGUAAUAAACAUGUGUCACAAUGCCC